rnacentral:rRNA from 1 species
UACGUAGGUGGCAAGCGAUACUCGGAAUCACUAGGCGUAAAGCGCAGGUAGGCGGUUUGGUAAGUCUUUUGUGAAAGCCCCCGGCUCAACCGGGGAGGGUCGUUGGUGACUGUCGCGCUUGAAGGCAGCAGGGGUGAGUGGAAUUCCCGGUGUAGUGGUGAAAUGCGUAGAGAUGUGGAGGAAUACCGAUGGCGAAGGCAGCCCCCUGGGUCAAUACUGACGCUCAUGCACGAAAGCGUGGGGAGCAAACAGG